AUGGCCCCCAAGGAGCAAAGACUUCACGCUGAUCUGUUCAAGGUGACCCACCAGAAGGUGGUUGAUGCCAUCAGGGCAAACAUAACUAAUCAGACCUCAUAUGAUCAAAUUAAGAUUAUCCAACUCAGCUGCGAGCCGACAGAUGAAGAAUUGUUGAUGUUUUAUGCGGAGGUCCAUAAUCACCUAUUGGAGGUGGCUUCCCUUUCUAUCAACAAGAACGUUGAUUUCUUUGCGCCAGAGGAGGGAUUCGCGGAAGGCUUUGUUCCUGAGAUUGCAGAAGGACUACCAGUUUUAAGGCCUCAAACUAAGAAUAUAUCAUAUUUCAUUGUCGAGUUUGUUGGUGGUCCUGGAGAACCACGCCUGCAAUUUGCUGUUCGCCAUGACAAUCUGUACUGUGUCGGUUUCCGGGUGUUGUCUGCCAAUGAUAACGCAAAAACCAAAGAUUGGUCCUCUUUUGGUGAUGUUAACCUUUUGAAGUGUGCUGCAUUUCCUAAUGUUGAGGCAUCUAGAUUGUCAGAGAGCUAUAAAUCUUCGUAA
rnacentral:rRNA from 1 species